UAAAAAACAACAAAUAAAACAGAAACGUAAAAGCUAUGUACUAAAUUAAUAACUGCAAUUUACAUUCUUGCACUUGUGCAACUUGUGUAACUGUCAAGAGUCAAGUCUUCCUCUCACCAUCAUUGCUUUGUUACAUUUUGAUAAGCUAUCGUGACAUACUUUUACUUGUGAGAGAUGAAUAAGUUGCAUUACAGUACUUUUAUCCCAUCAUUGCCUUGUUAAAUUUUGAUAGGCUAUCGUGACAUACUGUUACUUGUGGGACAUGAUUAAGUUGCAUUAUAGUACUUUUAUUCGAUCAUUUCUUUGUUACAUUUUGAUAGGCUAUCGUGACAUACUGUUACUUGUGAGAAAUGAAUAGGUUGCAUUUUAGUACUUUUAUCCCAUCAUUGCCUUGUUAAAUUUUGAUAGGCUAUCGUGACAUACUGUUACUUGUGGGACAUGAUUAAGUUGCAUUAUAGUACUUUUAUUCGAUCAUUUCUUUGUUACAUUUUGAUAGGCUAUCGUGACAUACUGUUACUUGUGAGAAAUGAAUAGGUUGCAUUAUAGUACUUUUAUCCCAUCAUUGCUUUGUUACAUUUGAAUAGGCUAUCGUGACAUACUGUUACUUGUGGGACAUGAUUAAGUUGCAUUAUAGUACUUUUAUCCCAUCAUUGCCUUGUAACAUUUUGAUAGGCUAUCGUGACAUACUGUUACUUGUGAGAAAUGAAUAGGUUGCAUUACAGUAAUUUUACCCCAUCAUUGCCUUGUUAAAUUUUGAUAGGCUAUCGUGACAUACUGUUACUUGUGAGAGAUGAAUAGGUUGCAUUAUAGUACUUUUAUC